CCUACGGGUGGCAGCAGUGAGGAAUAUUGGUCAAUGGGCGGGAGCCUGAACCAGCCAAGCCGCGUGAGGGAAGAAGGUACAGCGUAUCGUAAACCUCUUUUGUCAGGGAACAAAGGCGGGGACUAGUCCCCGGAUGAGGGUACCUGAAGAAAAAGCAUCGGCUAACUCCGUGCCAGCAGCCGCGGUAAUACGGGGGAUGCGAGCGUUAUCCGGAUUUAUUGGGUUUAAAGGGUGCGCAGGCGGCCUGUUAAGUCAGCGGGAAAAGCACGGGGCUCAACCCCGGCGCGCCGUUGAAACUGGGAGGCUGGAGUUGGAGAGAGGUACGCGGAAGGCGCGGUGUAGCGGUGAAAUGCUUAGAUAUCGCGCAGAACCCCGAUUGCGAAGGCAGCGUACCGGCUCCACACUGACGCUGAGGCACGAAAGCGUGGGUAUCGAACAGGAUUAGAUACCCCUGUAGUC
rnacentral:rRNA from 1 species